rnacentral:rRNA from 1 species
AACGUAGGAGACAAACGUUAUCCGGAGUUACUGGGCGUAAAGGGCGUGCAGGCGGUUCGAUAAGUCUGGCGUGAAAUCAUUCGGCUUAACCGGGUGAUGUCGUCGGAGACUGUCGGACUAGAGGAUGAUAGAGGCGUGUGGAAUUCCGGGUGUAGUGGUGAAAUGCGUAGAGAUCCGGAGGAACACCAGUGGCGAAAGCGGCGCUCUGGGCUGCACCUGACGCUGAACUGCGAAAGCCAGGGGAGCGAACGGG